GGGCCCGUGGUAUAGUGGCAACACAUCUCGUUUGCAACGAGAAGCUGGGAGUUCGAUUCUCCCCGGGUCCA
rfam:Candidatus Staskawiczbacteria bacterium RIFCSPLOWO2_01_FTLL_33_9 rifcsplowo2_01_scaffold_52534, whole genome shotgun sequence.